rnacentral:lncRNA from 1 species
UUACUCUUUCAGAGUUUGAGAGAACCCAUUAUCCAGAUGUGUUUGCCCGAGAAAGACUAGCAGCCAAAAUAGAUCUACCUGAAGCAAGAAUACAGGUAUGGUUUUCUAAUCGAAGGGCCAAAUGGAGAAGAGAAGAAAAACUGAGGAAUCAGAGAAGACAGGCCAGCAACACACCUAGUCAUAUUCCUAUCAGCAGUAGUUUCAGCACCAGUGUCUACCAACCAAUUCCACAACCCACCACACCGGUUUCCUCCUUCACAUCUGGCUCCAUGUUGGGCCGAACAGACACAGCCCUCACAAACACCUACAGCGCUCUGCCGCCUAUGCCCAGCUUCACCAUGGCAAAUAACCUGCCUAUGCAAGUAAGUGCGGCUGGUGGUGGCCUGCAUAACCCAGGCCCCAGAGAAGUGAGGAGUGGCUCAGGGCCUGCGGACCUCAUUGGCUGUGUCUGCACCCUUGAGAGCUUUUCGCACUACAGUGAUUGGCUUGACCAGUCAAGUCGGAGACAGUCAAUCCCAUCACUUUUAAGUGAUUGACUCAUUAAUUCAUGCCCUAAAAAAAUGAGUAAUAAAAAUCUGUCCAGUUUUGUCAGGUUGAUCUGCCUUUUAUUAUACUGUUACCUUGAUA